rnacentral:lncRNA from 1 species
GACCGGCAGGACCUUGCAGAAGGAGCACGUCCCAGAGGAGGACAUUCUGAAGUGGAUCAAAGGUACUGGCUACCAUCGUUCGUUGGUGACGCUCGUGUGCGCAUCUCAUCCCUAGUACACCUGUGCCUCCCAUACGCAUAUCGAUCUGGAGCCUUGUUAUGGAUGGAUGGUUGCCUGGAUGCAGAAGCGGCGUUCCCUCUGAACAUACUGCUGUCCCUGGGGCUCUCCACCUUCGUGAGGGGCGAGCAGGCCAACUUCGACAUCGACCUGUCGGUUGGCGUGGAGGCCACACAGCUUUACCCUGACGUCGCCUACACCACCGUUGAUGAGUACCUCAACGGCCUUAUUUAAUUUAAUUUAAUAUAGGCAGGAGACUUUGGAUGCAAGUGACAAGGUCACUGUCUCACCGGCUGAACUGUGUUUGGAAAUGAUAAGCCAGCGUCUUGCUGGCCGAACUGCUAUUUUGUUAUUGAAAGUGUGAAUAAAGUAGGGGUAUUAUUGUCUCCCUUCAGCUAGAAUCUUGCCUUCAACUUUUUAAUGAAGUCUUUAGCUCGCAAAAAAGAAGAAAAAAGUUGAAGGCAACCUUAGAUUGGAACAUAUUGGAUGGGACUUGGGCAAAGUUAGGCCCUGUUUAGAUUGAAGAUGAAAAAUUUUUGGGUGUCACAUCGGAUAUGUCGGAAGAAUGUCGGGAGGGGUUUUUAGAAACUAAUAAAAAAACAAAUUACAUAGCCCGUUUGGAAACUGCAAGACAAAUUUAUUAAGCAUAAUUAAUUUAUCAUUAGCACAUGUGGGUUACUGUAGUACUUAAGGCUAAUCAUAGACUAACUAAGUUUAAAAAAUUUGUCUCGCGAUUUUCAACCAAACUGUGUAAUUAGUUUAUUUUUUUAUCUAUAUUUAAUGUUUCAUGCAUGUGUUCAAAGAUUCGAUGGGAUAGAUGAAAAUUUUUUGGAUGGGGAACUAAACAGAGCCUUAGUUUAUUUCCCUCUAAAAGCACAUGUAACGGAACUAAGGUACUCCUUAAUUUGCAGGCAUGAAAAUCAAACGAAUAAAAUAAAAUUGCAGUUGCUCGGCCGUUGCAUUGGGUUGCUCUCUCGCCAUUUGAUCUCACAGGUGACACCACUUCGCCGUUUGAUCUCACGAGUGACGACGAUUUGACGAAGUGACGACGAUUUGACAAAGUAAACGACGAUUUGACUAAGGGGUUCUCCUUUUUUUCAAAAAAAAUUAGGUUUGGUCCAUCAUUUUGCAAAUGAAUCUAAAUAUUAUGUAAAACUUUUGGCAAAAAGGUGGUUAUUCUUCGAUUUGAAUUUUGGUCUCAAGCCUUAAGAGGCAAUAAAUUCUGUAUUUUAUAUGAAACUAAACAUAAUCGUAAAAAUUUUGGUAUUUUAUAUUUCAUCACUUUAAAGUAGUCGUCGUAUUUUGGAUUCUGGAUUCUUUGGGAACUAAACGCUCGCUAAGUGCCUCACAUCGAGCAAGCAUUGCAACGGCUACCGGAGGGGGACCUCGUCUAAAAUGGUUUCUUAUCCUAUGGUGCAUUAGGUGCAAACCGUGCAUCUAUCUUGCACCAAAACUAACAUUGUCUCCAAACAGACCGAAGCGAGAUUCCAUAUGACACAUGUCAUCUAGGAGUUCCAUUGGAUGCGUCCAAAUUAAUUUCUUAACAUAUGGUACGUUCCGUUCCAUGUAAACUGUGCAACUAUCUUGCAUCAAGAUUAGCACUAUAUCCGAACAGACCAAAUCGAGCCUCCACUUGAUCCUCUUCAACUACGAGUACCAUCGGGUGCGUCUAAAAUGGUUUCUUAGCCUAUGGUGCAUUAGGCGUAAACCAUGCAUAUAUCUUCUACCAAAACUAACACUGUCUCUAAACGAACCGAAGCAAGAUUCCAUAUGACACACGUUAUCAAGGAGUUAUAUCAGGUGCGUCCUAAUUAAUUUCUGAGCAUAUCAUAUGUUCCAUGCAAACCAUGCAUCUAUCUUGCAUCAUGAUUAGCACUAUCUCCAAACAGACCAAACCGAGCUGUCACAUCGGUCGGGUGCGUCCAAAAUGGUAUGGUGCAUUACUCCGGGGGCGCACAUUGCUUUCAAAAACAUUUUUUUUCCCGAUCAGGUUGUGAAAGGAUGAACUGAUCCGAUUUCCGAUCCGGAGAGGCCUCGGUUCCGAUUCCGCUGGAAAUCCGUUUACUGUCGAUCGGGCACGCCACGCACAUCAAGGGAACAGACCAAGUUCGAGAUGAACCCAUCGUCAGACACGACCGUCGACGACUACCUCAACAGGUUGCUCUGAAUGCAUGUAAACCGUGCGCGGACUUUUAGAGAUGUAUGGAGUGCACAAAGAUCACGCAUCAGCAAGUCCCGGUGACGCUUUCCUUGGAUGUGGUGAGCGUGUGUGUGAUCGUGGGUGAUGAUCGAUGCCAGCAAAGCUAUUUGAACUGCUUUCUUCCCAUGUUUGGGGCUGCAGCGUAGCUAGAGUAUAUUUAUUUAAUGUUUACUCUUAUUAAAUAAGGUUGCAGUAUCCCUUACUCUCUCUAUCCCUAAGGGUGUCCCCAAUAGUUUCCAAAUAGCUAGAGAAGAAUUCUAUUAGCUAUCAAAAAAAGAGAUCAAAUAGCUAGUCUAGCACGAUCUCUUAAAAAUACUCUCUCACAGCUCACAUAGCUCUCGUUUUUUUUUUCAUUUUAGCCUUAUUUAGCUAGCUAUUUUUAAAUUGCCAUUGAGAGCGCCCUAAAUAUCCGUUGUUGUUGAUAUGUGUGCUAUAAAUUUGACUUGACUUAUAAAAAAUAUAUAUAACAUUUGUAUCUCUAAAAACUUUUUAGCCCUAUUUAAUAAGGACAAAAAGACAAAAUUAUACUCUAAUUAAUCACUUUUUUGUUACACACUAAAUAUUGUCCUAAAUGACUUUCUUCUUUACUAGUGAGCGAGCAAGGAAGGACCCAUGCGUGCGUGCGAGCAAGUAAGGAAAGGAAGGGAUGGGAAUGGCCGAUACGUGGAGGGUAACCGAAGAGUUUAGGGGCAUUCAUGUCCAAAACGUAGUUAACGGAUCUAAAACGAUCUUAAUUGUGCAAAUGAUAUGAGCACAUAGAAAGUCACGAUUAAAAUUAUAGUUCGCUAAUUUAUUAUGAGAGAAAAAUAAUGUUAGUACGGCUUAAAAAAAUAAGUGAACAGACUCGUACAAGAUGUUUAUUCAUUGAAAAAAUAACAAUAUCGGAGGUGACCGAUAAAUGGGUUUAGCGGAAAGUUUAUCGGUCAAAGUAAAAAUAAAUAAAUAGUUCAAUUUCUCUAGAAAAUUGCAUAAACGGUCAAGGCAUUUAAUAUCAAGAACUGGCACAUAAAAGUAUUGAUACAAGAGAAUAGCACACUUUCAUGUGGAUCAGCUGCAUGUCUGCACGGUGUUUCUGUGCGGAUGGUCCACCCGAGGGAUGCCGGGAACAUCAUUGUCAAAGGGACCGGCCUCAGUCCUAUCUCCUCGCUGGGCCACGUCCCGGGGCUGCCGUCAGCCAGUGCAGCUCACGAGUCAUCUAGGAUGGCGUCGGAGAAGAGCAAGAUCCUAGUGGUCGGCGCCACAGGCCACCUCGGCAGGCACGUCGUGGCGGCGAGCGCGCGGCAGGGCCACCCCACCUUGGCGCUGGUCAGGGACACCGCCCCCUCCGACGCGGCCAAGGCGGCGCUGCUCCAGAGCUUCCAGGACGCCGGCGUGACGCUCGUGAAGGGCGACCUCCACGACCAGGCUAGCCUGCUCAGCGCCGUCGGGCUGCGGACGUGGUCUGGUCAUCUCCACGGUCGGGGCGCCGCAGAUCGCUGACCAGACCAGGCUCAUCGACGCCAUCAAGGAGGCCGGCAACGUCAAGGUACAAGUACAACACUGUAGUUUUUCCCCCAAAUUGACAGAGAAUUUCGCGAAUUCAACGUUUUCGUUGGUGAUGAAGAAAAGCCAGCCAGUAGCUAAGCUUGGUAGAUCAUAGUUUGUUCUUUGACUGACCUACGGAUGCAUUGUUAUACAAACGCAGAGGUUCAUCCCGUCGGAGUUCGGCCUUGACGCCGACCGCUCGGCCGCCGUGGAGCCGACGAGGUCCAUGUUCGUCACGGCCAAGGCGGCGAUCCGCCGCGCCGUCGAGGCAGCGGGCGUCCCCUACACGUACGUGUGGACGGGCUACUUCUUCGGCUACGGGCUGCCCGGCAUCGGGCAGGUGCUGGCCCAAGCACCACCCGUCGACAAGGCCGUCGUCCUCGGCGACGGCGACACCGAUGUGUCGUUCGUCGACGAGGGGGACAUCGGAACCUACACGGUGCUGGCCGCCGACGACCCGCGCGCGGUGAACAGGACGCUGUACGUCAAGCCGCCGGCCAACACGCUGUCGCACAACGAGCUACUGGCGCUCUGGGAGAAGAAGACCGGCAAAACGUUCCAGCGGGUGCAUCUCGCCGAGGACGCCGUCCUCAAGCAGAUCCAAGGUCAGACACUCUGACUCUGACACCUUUGAUCAAUAUGAAAUAAAUUCGAUAUGUACAAUUUUUAAACCUGCAAGUUGGAUUUUCAACGUUAAAGUACGAAACCGAAUAACAUGCAGCCUCUGUCUGCUAAAACCAAACAAAUUUGGUUCCAUGGUUAGUUUCAAAAGAGUUUUUUUGUUUUUUUAAUAAUAAAAUUCUUGUUUAUGUCUAAAAAUUUAUAAUUAAUUUGUUUUAGUCUGAGAAAUACAAAAGUAGUAUAAGUUUUAUCUAAAAAAUGUUAGAUAUCUAUUGGUGCUCUAUUUAGAGUUAUUUAGAUCGUACUAGUUUUAAAUAAAUAAUAAACAUGAGUACGUACGAGCAAUAAAUCAAUAGAACUUGAAAUAAAUCAGUUCCAAAUAAUUAUAUAUAGAUCAUAAACAUGUAGAUAAUAUUUUUAGAAAGUAGUACUUAUUUUAUGUUUUAUGAUUUCAAAAUUAUUGAUGAAUUUUGAUAUAGUAGAUUAGAUUAUUAUUAUUAUUGGAAAAUAUAAAACCACCUUAAAACUAGUAAGAGGACCAAAAUUUUCUAGUUUUAACCACGGGAGGAUGUCCGUUACAUGGUUUCUUAGUUCAAGGUUGAAAAUCAGACUACCAUGCAAGUUAAAGGUUAAAAAAUGUAUUUUACCUUAAUAAAUUAUAUUCUCUCUAUUUCAAACCAUAAAUCGUACAUUUAAGUUUAUACUAAGCUAAAUUUCUUUAUCUUUAAAAAACUUAAUUUCAUAUUAUUGAAAAUAAAUACACUAUCAUAAUAUAUUUAAUUAAUAAAUCAUGUUUAUAAUGUUGUAACCGAACGUCUUGCUGGUCUUCUCACCAUAUGUAACCAAGCAACAGUCAUUUGUUGUUCCUGAUCAAUGAAUUUGGUGGGGAAGUGCUCCUCCCGCCCGUUUAUGUCAAAAAGAAAAUGUGUAUUUUUUUUAUAAACUUGAUCAAAUCUUGAGAAACUUACUGAUAACAAAAUUAAAACUAUUUAUAGUUUAGAACAGGGAGUACGUAUUUUAAUUAACUUAUGGACUUUGUCGAUCGAUAGCUUUUAAAAUCUCAGUUUUGUAAGCAUUAAAAGCAUACAUGUAAAUCUAUUUUGAAAAAUAAUUUCACAAUUCCAUACAUUCACGAGACAUUAUCCUAUAUUCUAACUACAACAUGUCAAUCACGUAUAUAUAUGUCCUACUGAUAAAUCCUCAAACAUCUAUCUAAAUACUGGUGGACACCGAUCAUUCCAUCUAUCAUCUAUGGGCCAACCCAACGAUUUUCAUCAGCAGACUGGUUCUAGCUGUGAACUGAUCACUGAACUGAUAUGAUAACUGAUAACCAAUAUACUGAACUGAUAUGAUAACUGAUAACCAAGAGGUUAACAAUUCUGCAGAACUUCCGAUCCCGCUGGACAUUCUACUGUCAAUUGGGCAUGCGGUGUACAUCAAGGGGGAACAUAAGUUCAAGAUCGACCAAUCGUCGGCGGCGGACGCCGGCGAGCUGUACCCGGACGUGAAGUACACCACGGUCGACGAUUACCUCAACAGGUUACUCUGAACGUGACCUGCAGGGGUCUCCAUCGAGUGCGCACCAAUCACCAAUUGGAAAGACAUUUGGUGGAUCUUCUAAAGAGAUCACAUUUUUGAAACCCAAGCUCAUCACUUUCUGCUUUGCAAACAAGAUCCUCACCGUAACUACAAGCAACCAUGGAGGAGGACGAUGGAUCAGGGGACUCAGGGUGUACUGUGUACACUAAGCUUCAUUCAUUUGCUUAUUCAAAUUUCUGUGACGUGCAAGUACUUGGGCGUUGCAUUGUCCACUUACAAGCUAAGACGUAGUAGUGACGACUGACGAGCAGUUCCUUAUUGAUGUCGUGGGCAGAAGGAUUCCGGGAUGGAAAGAGAACCUUCUUAAUUUGGCGGGGAGAACGACGCUCGUCAGAUCGACGUUGUUGUCUGCAAUCUCGAUACACCUAUCUAUCGUGGUUUGCCUUUCGGCUGGGUACACCUAAGUCCCCUCUUUUCUGUCAAAUCUGCAUAUGAAUUUGCGGUAAAAAAAGGGGCCAUUUGAACCACGAUGAUGCAUCCUCAUCUAAAGGAUCAACAAAGCAGUUUUCUAUGGAAAAACAUCUGGAACCAAAAGGUAGCAAAUAAAAUAAAGAUGUUCUUGUAGAGGCUGGCCCAUAAAGAAAUUUAUCCAGAAGAAGGAGGGGGGUGGUGGGGAUUUUGGACACCAUAUGCACAAUGUGCUACCGUCUUGAUGAAGAUUGUGGCCGCUAUUUCUCAAGUGCAAAAUGGUAAAGCAAGUGUGUGGAGACGACUUGGCCUGGAAGAAAGAAAAAUUCUGCUUACCAGAAGUUCAGGCCCAGAAGUUAUAGAGAGAAUCCUACCAUUCAAUGAGGAAUCUAAGCUCACAAUAAUACUUCUUUUAUGCUUUUAUGGUGUUGCUGGCAUGCUCGGAAUAAGGUGAACCAAGGAGAAAGAAGAUGUGUGAUUGAGGAAAUCUGUAACUCUGUUUAUUAUCAUCUUACGUGUAUGCACAAGCUCAAGCUUUCAGCCUCUACUCCUACAAGGCAUCAACAGGAACGAUGGUCUUAUUUUCCAAACACUAGAAAAGGGGGUUGGGGAUGUAUCAUCAGAAACCACAAAGGUGAAUGUUUGGCUGCAGGGGUUGGAGCACUUCAGGGACUUUCUAAUGCCAUGCUGAGACUCUGGCUUGUAGGAAAGCUUCGGAGCUAGCCACCUCUGUUGGAGUUGGAAUUCAAAGGAUAAUAAUUGAGUUAGAUGCCCAGAAUCUGGUUUCUGCAUUGAUGUCAGACACCUACGAUCGUGCGGAGCUUGGAGCAUGUUUUAAGGAAACUAGAUCCAAAAUAGCAUGUGAUUUUGUAUAUAUUGUAAUGUUUCAAAAUGUCCCAGAAAUUGUAAUGCUGUUUCUGACUGUCAAGCAGAUUAUGGUGCUUCUCUGAGUGAUGUUCAGUUCAAAUUAUGGAUAGACCAGGACACCAAACCUUGUAAUCCCACUUGUAUCCGGGAAUCUACCUGUUUCUGUAUGUUAAAUGGAACUUUGUUUCCAUAUAUAAAAAAAAACAAAGGAGCUCAGUGGACUUGACGUGCUCGAUCUUCGAAGAGCAGGCGCUGCCUUCAGAGUGCGCUGGGAAUAAGGAUGAAAACGGAACGGAAAUAUCCCGGACCGAACCGAACCGCUUUCUAUAUUUGAUCCGAUCGAAUUCGUAUUUUCUUGUCCGACUUUAUCGUUUUCGUUUUCGUAUUUUAGAUGUUUCGUAUUUCAAAUGUAAAAGUAGAAAACGGUUUUGAUAUUUUUCGACCGUUUUCUACUUUUCUACUUUUAAUUUGAAAUAUUUCGAAUUCAAAAUUUGGUUUAAACCGAAUUUAGUCAACUGUAGGGUCACACAGCCCAAUUACAGACUACUCACCAUGCAUCUGCGUUAUUUCUACUGGUGGCUAGUGCGUUCCUGGUAGCUAUUAAUUGCUUAUUCAAGACUUGUAUUUAUGUGUGGGCUAUUAUAUUAAAUACCUAAGACCAAUCAUGCACUUUUUAAUUAUUAUAUGCACUUAAACUUGAUCGUGUAUAUACUUAGUCAUGCACUUGGUACUACAUAUUGGUAUUUCGUAUUAGGUUUUCGUAUAUCGACCGUGUUCGACAUAAAUCCGAUCGAAUUGGUUCGUUUUCGAAAGUCUCGAUAUUUCGUAAGUUCGUGUUCGUUUUCGUGUCCGACUUUACCGUUUUCGUUUUCGUUUUCGUAUUUGAAAUGUAAAAGUAGAAAACAAUUUAAGAGUUUUUCGACCGUUUCCGACCGUUUUCAUCCUUAGCUGGGAAUGGCUCUGGCGUACUGACUCGCGUAGGACGUGGUGUGACCUGCCGUCCUCCACGGAGAAAGCUGUUCAGGCUAUUUUCCAGGCCGCUACUGAAUCGGUUGUUGGUGAUGGGAGCCUUACCUUACCUUGUUCUGAAACUGAUAGGUGGUUGCAGGGAAGAUCCAUUCAGCAGUUAGCGCCAGACAUAGGAGAAGGUCGCGUCAGCUUUGCCAUCAAGGGCUUGGGUACGUUGUCCGACAUGAACGGCGCCUUGACAUUUCCGGUGCUGCUCGAUUACAUUCUGGACCUUGUUUAGUUCACCCUGAAAACCAAAAAGUUUUCAAGAUUCUCCGUCACAUCGAAUCUUAUGACACAUGUAUAAAACAUUAAAUAUAGACGAAAACAAAAACUAAUUACACAGUUUAGCUGUAAAUCAUGAGACGAAUCUUUUAAUCCUAGUUAGUCUAUGAUUGGAUAAUAUUUGUCACAAACAAACGAAAUUACUACAGUACCGAAAACUUUUCACUUUUCGAAACUAAACAAGAUGACCGCAGGCAUGAGCUGCAAGCCUGCAACCUGGAAGGCGAUCGAGUGCUCCGCCAAGGGUGAAAUGUCAAGUCUGCAAAAUUGCGGCAACUGCUUCAUAUUCUGUGAUCAGCAAUCGGAAACACUGGACCACUUGUUGUUGGCUUGCGUGUUCAGUAAGGAGGUUUGGGUGACAGUGAUCCGACUGCUGCACCUAGAGAUGGGGUUUGUCAGCGUCCGGGAUGUGGUUGCCUGGAGUGGUGGUUGCUCUCAAGGAAGUUGAUCUAUCCCGAAAGGAUUGCAAAGAGGAUUUGAUAGCUUGUUCCUGCUGGUUGGGUGUGGAUGUUAUGGAACGUUUGGAAGGCAGAAUUCCACUUCUCGGCAGCUGCUGCACAAGAUUAUAGAGGAAGCAAAUAUUUUGGGUGCGUGCAAAGCACAUUCAGGCUCUGUUCGCUUGUCUUAUAAAUCGUAUUUUUCUAAUAGUUAGCCGUGUUUUUCUCUCAUAAUAAAUCUAUUUUUCAAUUACUAAUGGAGCCUUAGGACAUGUACAAGAGAGACAACUGCUGUCUGUAAAUUUUUAAAAUUUACAAUAUAAAAUUUACAAUAUAGACAGCUAAACAGACAGCUCAUGCAACCUACAAACAGCUCUUAUCUGUUUAGCUAUCUACCGAUCAUUCUAAUGUUUGCAUUUAGACAUGAUCAAUUAUAGAUAUCAUUUUUAUAUACUAUCGUGUGGCUAACCGAUGAAAAGCAAAUCCUUCAAAGCAAAUCAUACUCCCCACAAAUAUGAUACUAUAAUAUAUUAGUGCGAUAGUGUAUUAUACUAUAUAUAAUGUAAUAUAAUAUAUUUCAAAUAAAUCAAAUAUAACACACGUCUUCUUCCCCAUAAAUAUGAAUAACUUACAGAAUGGAAUCUUUGGUGAUAGUGAAACUUUUACUGUAAUAUCACACUAAUAUGAAUAACUUACUGUAAAUUUUGCAACAUUUAUUAAGCACAACGAUUUCAUAUAAAAAUUAACAAAAGGUUUCACAAAAUAAAACUUACAACAAACAUUCAAGGUGUAACAUAUGUUUUUAUCACUUGCAGGUUAUAGUUUUGGUCGCAGGGAACCUAACAAAGUUCGAAUCAUAAUUUUUAGAUUUAAUUUUGUUUUUAUAUGAGUUUUAUAAGUUUUAGUAGUUUUGUUUCCUUAUUGAAACAAGAGAAGAAGCUAGUAAAGCCUUUGACCCAGGAAUGUGCAGCGGAUCUGUGGUGCCGGAGUACAUACGCAGAUACACAUGCAAGCACGAGCCAAAGCCAUUCUUUACGACGGCUUGGCUCUCUCAUCGUUGGACAAAGUUCUUUUUAUAAAAUUUACCGUAUAAAGACAGCGUCCAAACCACCGUUAUACGUGCCCAUGAGUUGCAGUGCUUGGAGACGCCAUUCAGUUGAGUCAGGGUGUAUGGCUUUGGUCGCAAAAUAGAUACGUGUAAUAAAACUGCUGGGUGAGGAAGGUUUCGGUAAUUGUUGAUUCCCUACCUGUGUAAACACUUUCGUGGGAAAAACAAAUAAUCCCAACUCAUUUUUUUAAAAUCCAAAUCCACUGCCAGCUCUAUGGCUCUAUACAACUAUACGGAUAUAUUGCUGUCCGUCGCGUACUUUAGCGGUGUUUGAUACAGGUGGUUCAACUUUAGUCUAGGUCACAUUGGAUGUUUAAUACUAAUUAAUUAGGAGUAUUAAAUAUAAAUUGAUUACAAAACUAAUGUAUAAGUCGUGACUACUAACUAAUUUAUGAGACGAGUUUAUUAAACCUAAUUAAUCCAUAACUAGCGGAUGUGAUGCUACAGAAAAUAUAUGCUAAUUAUAAAUUAGUUAUAUGUUUAAUAAAUUUGUCUCAAGAAUUAGUUACGGCUUAUACAAUUACUUUUAUAAUUAUCUUAUAUUUAGUCCUUCUAAACGUCACAUUGGAUAUCAAUUAAGAGGACUAAAUACAACAUGAUGUUGGAUGUCAAUUAGAAAAACUAAAAUAGUUAUAAAACUAAUUAUAUAAGCCGUGACUAAUUCACGAGAUGAAUUUAUUAAUCAUCCUCUCUCUCUCUCGUUUUUGGGCUCGAUCAUAGUCCGUCAAGGUGGGAUGUGGGAGUUCCCGACCAAGCCAUCUCAUCGUCACCAAACUACUACCAGUACCCACUCACUCACCUGCAGCUGCAGGUAGAUCCAUGAUGUACGUGUUGCAAAUAAUUUAGCCAUUAAAAAUUAUAAGUCAUUUGAUGUGGGUUCAGAUAUGGGUUCAGUUGGAAGCAAAUUUUAUAUGUUGGUAUGUCAAAAUUGGAUAGGGUUUCAGUUAGGAGUUUGGUUGAAAUUACUCUAAAACUUUCACAUGCCGCUAAUUGGAGUGUUUAUGAUGCCAUAGCCAAUAAUUACACGUCAAUUGCCCACCAAACUCACAUGCGCCUACAAUUGUCUCUACUAUAUUCCUCGGCUCCUGAAUUAAAUCAACUUGUAGAGUUGUUCUAAUUUAGUUUUUAAGUUUAAUCAUUUUUAUAUAAAAGAGUACUAACAUCUACUCCCUUUGUCCCCUGUUAAAUGUCGUUGUAGCCUCCUGUCAGGUGCAUGCUCCUUGCUGUGAACUUGGAUGCUGCUUUGCGUCUAGAUUCCUGCUAUUUUGUCUCAACUUGGACAUGCAAAAGUAGUGCUAGAACGACGUUUAAAGUGGGAUAGAGGGAAUAUGACACUAAAAAACAAAGUACUCCCUCUGUCAAAAAACGAUGUUAAAGAAAUUUGACAUAUUAGUUGAGGAGAGAAAUGAAUCUAGUACACUCUUGUUUUGGUAGAGGAGAGAAAUGAAUCUAGUACACUCUUGUUUUGUUACAAGAAAUUUUCUUAAAAGGAAAGAUGUAAUGGUUAACCUUUUCAAUUAAAGUGUGUUGCAUAGAGGCAUGCAGAGAAAGUGCAUAUCUAAUACCAAGAGCAUCAAGUUUUUGGGAUAUUUUUUUGAACCACAACAUCAAUAUUUCUGGGGGUGAUGAGUAUAAAAUUAUAUUGCAUUUUGUAUCUAGCUAUACUAAUACGUGUUAUUCAAUAUUAGUCCUUUUUUUGCAAAGUCAAUUAAGCAUAAAUUUUUUGACUUAGAACAUCUUUAGAAAUUAAUUUAUUCUAGUAUGGAGAGAGUAUUCUACUGGUCCCAACAUAAGUAUCGUUCAUUCACCGAGGGUCAAAUAUUUUAAUAUUUAACCAAAUAUAUACAAGAAACUAUUGAUAUUUAUAAUACACAUAAUUAGUAUUAUUAGAUAUAUCAUUAAACCUAAUUUCAUAUUAAACUUAUUUAAAGAUAUAAAUGUUGUUAAUAUUUUUUAUAAAUUUAGUUAAACUUUUUUGACAAAGCCAACGGCAAGCUUUAUUUUUAAAUUUGACCGACAUGAAUAUUAUAUGGAUACUUACUUUAGAGAGAACUAUUUAAUAUGUCAUGUCCAAUAGCUGUGUGCCAUGUGUCCUUGUUGGCCCACAUACGCAGAUACCAUGGCUAGCCUGGCACGCGGUCGUGAUUUUUAUCAUUCGACUUCUAAGCAAAGGCCUUGUUCAUUCUGAAAUUCAAUUUUUUUUUUAAGAUUUUCUGUCACAUCAAAUUUUGUGGCAUAUGCAUGAAUCACUAAAUAUAGACGAAAACAAAAACUAAUUACAACGUUUGUCUGUAAUUACGAGACAAAUCCUUUAAAUCUAGUUAGUCUUUAGUUGGACAAUAAUUAUCAAAUACAAACAAAAUAUUACAGUGUCAAAAUCUAAAAUCUUUUCACAACUAAACAAGGUUAAAGUCGAAAAUGACCCACGGCCGGCCCAUCAGUUGCGCCAGACCUUUCUCACUGGAUCAUCCUAGUUAACCACAAGUGCCCUCGUGAACCUGGACACGUCGACUCAUUCGCUAGGACGUGAACACGGGCAGGUUCAUCGCGGAGCGGAGCGGACGAGCACAGCCCGCGUCCGGGUGCACUAGAGUAGCAGCACGUACCACCUCACCUACCACCCUACUAGGGUCAUCAGAUGUCCGGCCCAUGAGUAUGAUGAUGAAGUAUUAUAGGUUCAAAAAUUAUUUUGAUGGAGGGUAUUACGUUCCAAAAUUAUUUUGACGGAAUCUUAACGUCACCUACCGCCACACCCACACCACCGUGUGCAGCCGGCUAGCACAACCAGGCAGGCACGGCCGCGCGGCGCCCGCCGGUUUUCGUCAUGUCUUUGUCUUCUAGAAUUUGAGAUACUAUACCCACUUGUGAACACCUGUCAUCCAUAUGUAAACCUUUAAUAAUAAGCACUAAAAGGUUCUAGUACGUACAAAUUAGCAACACAAAAUUGAUAUUAGUAAUAAAAAAAUCAUUUUAUACCAUGUACCUCUUUCGUUUUUGAGAUGACAUAUAUUUUUUAUAGAUAAAUCUACACAUGUUUAUAUUUGUGAUUGAGAAUUGAACAAAAGUCCGCUAUAUACUGACCCUUGACAAGCUCUAGUACCAAACAAUGUUCUUGUUUGUUUGAGCUUAUCUAUCAUCUAUCGAAUCUGUCAACCAUUAAAUAAUAUUUUUUUAUAACAAAUUAGCAAACAAUAUUUUCGGCCAUGAUUUUUCAGACAAGCGAACAUGCUCGACAGACAAUACCUCUUUUCUUUUUCUAAUAUAAGUACAUGACUUUGCCCCCUUUUUUCCCAUCUGAUGACAUGUGCAUGUGCAUAUAUAAUCACCAUUUCUCCUUUUUUUUUAAAAAAAAGGAACCAUUUCUCUAAACCGAAAACUAAAUUUAAGGGAUUGCGUGUGAGAGGGGAAAAAUAUAUGUUUCGUCCAAACGCAACAUGUUGCCUGCACCAAUCGUGAAAAUAUUGGACCAAUUUCACUAUCGGCCAAUCGCCGCAACCACAGGUUGAGGUAGGCUACAGGUUGAAAAUAUUGGACCAACAGGGUAGCCACCAGUAUGGAAUGGAACCAGCUGCGCUAGGAGUAUUUUCCUUUCCCUAUAUAUAGUAGUGUUUGAUUCUCAGGUCCACAAAUCGACAACACCGAUCAACAGGCCGGCGUCCAUCCUGCAGUAUUGCCGCCGAUAACUGUUUUGACACACAAUCAGGCCGGAUAGAUGGCGUCGGAGAAGAGCAAGAUCCUGGUGGUCGGCGGCACGGGGUACCUGGGCCGGCACGUCGUGGCGGCGAGCGCGCGGCUGGGCCACCCCACCGUCGCGCUCGUCAGGGACACGGCGCCCUCCGACCCGGCCAAGGCGGCGCUGCUCCAGAGCUUCCAGGACGCCGGCGUGACGCUCGUCAAGGGCGACCUCUACGACCAGGCUAGCCUUGUCAGCGCCGUGAAGGGCGCCGACGUGGUCAUCUCCACGCUCGGGUCGCUGCAGAUCGCCGACCAGACCCGGCUCAUCGACGCCAUCAAGGAGGCCGGCAACGUCAAGGUCGUCGGUCGGCCGUGCCCUUGUUCUUGCGCUUGAUUUGCUACAUGCAUGCCGACGUCUAUCUUCAUGCGCAUGCAGAGGUUCUUCCCGUCGGAGUUCGGCCUGGACGUGGACCGCACGGGGAUCGUGGAGCCGGGCAAGUCGAUCCUCGCCGGCAAGGUGGGCAUCCGGCGCGCCACCGAGGCCGCGGGCAUCCCCUACACGUACGCCCUGGCGGGCUACUUCGCGGGGUACGCGCUCCCCAACGUCGGGCAGCUCCUGGCGCCCGGCCCGCCCACGGACAAGGCGGUGGUCCUCGGCGACGGCGACACCAAGGUGGUGUUCGUGGAGGAGGGGGACAUCGGGACGUACACGGUGCUGGCCGCCGACGACCCGCGCGCCGAGAACAAGACGCUGUACAUCAAGCCCCCCGCCAACACGCUGUCGCACAACGAGCUGCUGUCGCUGUGGGAGAAGAAGACCGGCAAGACGUUCCAGCGGGAGUACGUGCCUGAGGAAGCCGUGCUCAAGCAGAUCCAAGGUUGGUUUGGUUCUGGUUCAGUUCAUCGAUCCGUGGAUGCAUGAUCUCUAUUGCAGCUAGCUGUGAAUAACGACGGUGUCCAUGUCCAUGUGUGUGUGUGCAGAGUCGCCGAUCCCGCUGAACAUCAUCCUGGCGAUCGGGCACGCGGCGUACGUGCGGGGGGAGCAGACGGGCUUCGAGAUCGACCCGGCCAAGAGGGUGGACGCCACCGAGCUGUACCCGGACGUCAAGUACACCACCGUCGACGAGU